UCUGGUUGAUCCUGCCAGUAGUCAUAUGCUUGUCUCAAAGAUUAAGCCAUGCAUGUCUAAGUACAAACCUUAAUACGGUGAAACCGCGAAUGGCUCAUUAAAUCAGCUAUGGUUCCUUAGAUCGUCUCAUCCUACUCGGAUAACUGUGGAAAAUCUAGAGCUAAUACGUGCUUACAAGCCCUGACCUCACGGGAGGGGCGCAUUUAUUAGAUCAAAACCAAUCGGGGCUUGCCCCGUCUGCUUGGUGACUCUGGAUAACUUUUGUGCUGAUCGCAUGGCCUCUGCGCUGGCGACGUAUCUUUCAAGUGUCUGCCCUAUCAACUUACGAUGGUAGGUGAUAUGCCUACCAUGGUUAUAACGGGUAACGGGGAAUCAGGGUUCGAUUCCGGAGAGGGAGCCUGAGAAACGGCUACCACAUCUAAGGAAGGCAGCAGGCGCGCAAAUUACCCACUCCCGGCACGGGGAGGUAGUGACGAAAAAUAACGAUACGGGACUCUUUUGAGGCCCCGUAAUUGGAAUGAGUACACUUUAAAUCCGUUAACAAGUAUCUAUUGGAGGGCAAGUCUGGUGCCAGCAGCCGCGGUAAUUCCAGCUCCAAUAGCGUAUAUUAAUGUUGCUGCAGUUAAAAAGCUCGUAGUUGGAUCUGAGGACUCGAAUUGGUGGUGCACCAUACGGUGUUACUGCCGAUUCGGCCUACCUAGUCGGUGCUCGCUCUUGGUGUUCUUAAUUGAAUGCCCUGAGUGCCCGGCAAGUUUACUUUGAAAAAAUUAGAGUGCUCAAAGCAGGCCAUUAGCCGGAAUACUUCAGCAUGGAAUAAUGGAAUAGGACUUCGGUUCUAUUUUGUUGGUUUUCGGAACCCGAGGUAAUGAUUAAGAGAGACAGACGGGGGCAUUCGUACUGCGGUGUUAGAGGUGAAAUUCUUGGAUCGCCGCAAGACGAACAACUGCGAAAGCAUUUGCCAAGAAUGUUUUCAUUAAUCAAGAACGAAAGUCAGAGGUUCGAAGACGAUCAGAUACCGUCCUAGUUCUGACCAUAAACGAUGCCAACUGGCGAUCCGAGAUCGUUUGCUUAUUGACCUCUCGGGCAGCCUCCGGGAAACCAAAGUUUUUAGGUUCCGGGGGAAGUAUGGUUGCAAAGCUGGAACUGUUCAAUUGCAACUCUGCCUGUGACACCAAGUGGUCGGGUUACUUGGUCUGUUCUGGCCCGGAGUCGGUAGGGUUUCCGGCCUUGUGCUCUUUCCUUACUGUUCUCUGUAACGCCGAAGGCGGGGCUUCCACGGUGGGGAAGCGGUUGUACAAAUCCGGCAAAUCCAGCCAAAUGGGUUCCGGACUCUGUCCAACCUGCAACUGGUAACAGCCUCGGCUGGCUAACAUUUGAGCUGGGACUCGCUUGGGAGGAGCGAGGAUAAUAUAAACCUCUAUGUGACUGAGGUGAGGAAUCUGGUUCUCGUAAAAUGGCUGGAGAUCCCGAGCCUGUAAGUCAUAAAUUAGUUCCCCCACGAGGGGAGGUGUCGAAUUGAAGCCAGUGCGUGCCCUUACUAGUUUAAGGGGAUUGUAUACUUCCUUUGGUGUACCCACCUGGAAGUGCCCAAGGGGUCCUAUCCCUGCACUCCAUCCCCGAUUGGAGUCAGGUGACGGCUCCUUA
rnacentral:rRNA from 1 species